UUGACCUCAGAUCAGGUAGGAAUACCCGCUGAACUUAAGCAUAUCAAUAAGCGGAGGAAAAGAAACCAACAGGGAUUGCCUCAGUAACGGCGAGUGAAGCGGCAACAGCUCAAAUUUGAAAUCUGGCUCUCGGGCCCGAGUUGUAAUUUGCAGAGGAUGUUUCUGGCGAGGUGCCUUCCGAGUUCCCUGGAACGGGACGCCAUAGAGGGUGAGAGCCCCGUCCCGGUUGGUCGCUAAGCCUCUGUGAAACUCCUUUCGACGAGUCGAGUAGUUUGGAUGCUGCUCUAAAUGGGAGGUAUACGUCUCUAAGCUAAAGUACCGGGCCAGAGACCGAUAGCGCCACAAGCUAGAGUUGAUUCGCAUGA
rnacentral:rRNA from 1 species